AACUUUGCGCAGUGGCAAUAUCGUAACCGAUGAGGGUCUCCCGAGGUGCGAUUAUUGCUAGUUGAAAACUUCUUUAGCU